rnacentral:rRNA from 1 species
UACGUAGGGUGCGAGCGUUGUCCGGAUUUAUUGGGCGUAAAGAGCUCGUAGGCGGUUUGUCGCGUCUGCUGUGAAAACUCGGGGCUUAACCCCGGGCCUGCAGUGGGUACGGGCAGACUAGAGUGCGGUAGGGGAGACUGGAAUUCCUGGUGUAGCGGUGAAAUGCGCAGAUAUCAGGAGGAACACCGGUGGCGAAGGCGGGUCUCUGGGCCGUAACUGACGCUGAGGAGCGAAAGCGUGGGGAGCGAACAGG